ensembl:lncRNA
AUGAAAACUAAAAAUGAGAUGUGUGUGUGUUUGGAUGUGUGGGCGUGUGUGUGUGGUCAGCUGCUGGAUGAACAAAGACCUCAACCCUUCCCAUUUCCUUUGCAUGUACUCAAAGUGGAAAAUAUUUUGCAAUUUCCCAAAGUCUAUGAUGAGUUAUUUUGCUUUGUGGUGUUUAUGUCUCUGACUCAACAUUGUCUAAAAAAAUCUAAACAGUGGCGACAUCAGCAGAUGGUGUCAGUCAGGUGGAUUGAGGAGCAUCGAUAUAGAAGAGGGCUCAGGACACACCCUUGUGGUGUACUGCUUUCAAGCCACAGAUUUCUGAUCACCCAUCCUGAUACACUGGCUUCUGUAGCUCAGUAAAUCUAAAAGCAGUGUUUUCUUUCUGCACCAGUUUGUGUUUGAGCUCAUUAAUGGGAUUUACAUUACAGCAUGUCAACAAAAGUCCACGUGGCUCAUAUGAUGACUUUGCGCAUGUGGUGAAAGGCAAAAAUAAUUCUUUGUUGGUAAUUUUGAAACCUACAUUCUAAUUUCACAUUAUUUAAAAGCCUAUUUUUUCAUCAUGAGCCUUUACUCCUCUAUGCUGGGUUGGGACCGACUAUUGUGCAUCGCCUGCAAUUAGUGCAGAACAGUGCGGCUAGGUUUUUGACUGGAACUAGGAAAAGGGAGCACAUUUCUCCAGUGCUGGAUUACCUUCACUGGCUCCCAGUCAUACCGGGCACAGUUUAAAUUCUGCUUUUUGUGUUUAAGAUUUUCCAAGCCAGUGCCCUCACCUGUUUAGUGGAGCUCUGAAUAAAGCAUGUUCCCUCAAGGUCAUUAGGUCAGCUGACCCAAUGUAAGACACGUGGUGAUCAGGCUUUUCAGGUUUUUGCACCCUCUCUCUGGAACCAGCUCCCACUCACAAUCAAACAGUCCCCAUCACUGGCAGUCUUUAAGAGCAGGUUGAAGACUCAUUUUUAUAGGAUGGCUUUCUCCUAAAGCUUUUUGGUUUCUGGUUUUUAUUUUAUGUUCUUUGUUUUCUUUUAACUAAUUUAUUUUAAUUUUAUUUUAUCUAAAUGUUUUCUCAUUGGUAUUUAAUUGUCCUCACAAAUGUCCAUGUUGUUAUUUAGUUGUCAAUGUUUUUCUGACUUGCUACUUUUAUCUUUGUUACUUUUCUUGUCCAGCACCUUGGGAUCCCUUUGAGGGUGGUGAAAAGCGCUAUACAGAUAAAACUUGAUUGAUUGAUGUAAGUGCUUUACCAUCUGCAUGGCGAUAAACCUGUUUCUGUAUGAUGGAACCCUCCAUAAUGCAGUUGUUACUAUCUCAUAGCAUGCCGUCAUUGUAAAUAUAAAAUAUGUUAGUGGCCAAAUGAGGAAAAAGAUCGAGGAACAAAUCUAUUGUUUUAUUGAUGAAAUUCAACCAAUAACCCACAGCUCUGGGCAUUUGCAACCCUUACUACAUUUACUGCAAGGCUUGUCUUAAGCAUUCAGAUGGAUGGAUGGAUGGAUGGAUGGAUGGAUGGAUGGAUGGAUGGAUGGUUGGAUGGAUGGAUGGAUGGAUGGAUGGACGGACGGACGGACGGACGGACGGAUGGAUGGAUUCCUGAUUUGUGAAUCCAUCUCACUGACUGAUGACCCGUUUUUGACUGUUCCAUAAAUGUCACCUUUUGGAUAUGUAUCUGUUUUCGUCUAUGAUUUAGGACAACAGUGACAGGUUUAUUACCCACUGAGGCUGAACGAAACAGGUAUGGUUCCUCUGAAAAUUUAUUUUAUGACAUUUGUUAGAAAUGAUCGUCACUUGAUACCCAAAAAUACGACUUCAUUGUUGCAUCAAAUAUAAAAUUAGAUAUAAACAAUUGUGUUCUUUUAUUUUCCAUGUACUUUAUAAGUUAUUUGAUGUUUUAUCACAGUUUAAAAAUAAUCUUUUUAAUACAAAAUUUCAAUUCAAUCUAUCUACUAAGCCUUUAUAUUGUAUACAAGAAGAUUUAUCGUUAGUCUUUGUUCAGUUUAUUUUUUUCUCUUUAUAGAUACCAUCAAAGCAAGAUAACUCAUGGUCAAUUUAUAUUAUAAUUAGGGGUAGGACUCGAAUUAAAAGUUCUCUAAUUAGAGGCUUAAUUAAUUUUGAUUCAUCACAUUUUAAUCGAUCAACACAAUUUACAUCUAAGCAACUAUUUAAAAAUCAAAAAUAAUGUUAGUGAAGCACAGAUGACAUAUCCACACUAUAAUGAGUAUAUUUCUUUAACCACAAUGUUCAAUUGAUUACUUUUGUCUCAUUAUAAAGGUAGCAAAUGCAGGAUUUGUUGGGAUGUGUAAAUAUUAGUUUAUGUGUUAUUGAUGACGUGUAAAUGGACAUGGGACAUUUUAAAUGUUGUGUACUGAACUGAACACUAAAUGGCAGCAGAGCACUGCUAAUAUGUAUAGAGGUGUGGUGUAGAGUUCAGGGGAGGUUCUGCUGAGAGUUACAAAAUGAAUGCUGUGUGUAUGCUAGUCCCUCCUGCUGUAAUAAAGUUGAUAUGAAUAAAGUUCUUCCUUUCUUCAUGAAAAUUGGUUAGUUAUGAUUAAUUUACUUGAAGUUUUAGUUGUGUACCAGAGACAGUCAGGAAUUCUGCAGGAAAAAAGUCAAAAAUAAAAAGUCAAUGAAGUCAGAUAUUGUUUGUCAUAAACCAAUCUCUUGGGGGAAAGUUCAUUGUGGACAAUGUAUUCAUUCACAUUCACAUUCCCUUUUUGUUUUUCAUUUUUCUGCAAAUAAAUGUCUUCCUCUCCCUCUCUGUAUUCAUUUUCAAGCCAAUUUGAAAGGAAAUUAAAUUUUGAGGCUUUUUCCAUUUCCCGGUUGUCUAGAAGGCCUUUUUUAUUCACCAUUUUUUUUACAUUUGGUUUCACUGCUUAUAAGAUAAUUGUUGGGUUCUUAUAUUGCUGAUGUCAUCUUUCAGGCUGCAUAUUAGAUUUAUUGCACCAUAACACUUCCUUAGUGAUCAUAUCUGGAAGCAGAGGUUCCUUCACCCAAGUGUCAUCUUUAAAUUCCAUUAAAAAAAUAGAUCCUGUCAUUUUCAUCACAUUAGCUGCUUAUGUUUAAGUUAUUUGGUAAGGAAAACACCCCUCAGAAAGAAGGAGGACUUUUUAAAACACUAUGAAGACAACAUAAACAACUCAAUAUACCAUCCUCCAUACAGAUUUUAUAGAGUUUUUAUGAAAAACAUCAGUAAUGCUGGUUUUCACUUCUAAGUGUGCCCUGGAGUGUCCCUACGUGUGCAGAAGCUGUUUUGUUUGAGGUUGGUUGCGGAAGUGAAACCAGCAAGAAAACAAAGUAGGCAUCAAUAAAACAUGAUACUGGGGCCAAAGGCGAAAGGUCAGAGAACAAUCUGCUGCAGAAACAAGCUUCAGUGAUAUUUUUGGGGGUUAAAUUAAAUUUGGGGUAAAGACAAACAGGUGCUGGUUCAGUUAUGUAAUAAAAUAAAGACAAACAACAAUAAUUAGAUAAAUGCAAUGUCCCCUGUGAAUGUGUUGCACCCUCCAGGGUUUUACCAGAAAACAGGGUAAGCAUCCCUCCUCUGUUAUCUCAGAUAGACAAAAAAGAAAUGUAUUAAAGGUGUGGUUGACUGAAAAAACAUUUUAAAUCCUUAUUUCUGAUUAUAAUUGGUCACUCUGAAUUUUUCAUGCAGGCUAAACAUGAAAACAGGCUCCUACACCUAUCUCCUGUGUUCGCUUAUGAUAGAAAAUAGAUGGUGAAAAGCUAGGAUUCGAAAAUCCUCACAUAUCUAUGUCACACUGAAUUUGCAUUCAGGGCCAUGCCCAUUUUGUCUUACGCCCGGACCCAAGAAGACUUUUUAAUUUAUUUAUUUUUUGUUUUGUUUUGUUUUUGUUUUGUUGUUUUUUUUUUUGCAGAGAGGAGAGUGUGUUGGUGAAAGUGAGUUAGUAACAUGGCUGCACACAUUCUGUUAACCAAUCAGAAGUGAGGUGUGUGCAUAUCAUUAAUAAUAUGGAUGUGCUACAAAUCACGGGGUGAAAGUGCGUUAGCCCAUGCUGCCCCCACGCUACUCCCACACUCUGGAACUCACUGAGUUAGGCAGGCACCCUCUUUGCCUGUUUUUUAAGUCUCGUAUAAAGACCCACUUUUAGGUAAAGACCCACUUUUACAACCUGGCUUUCAAACAGUGACUCAUUUUAUUGUUUUAUCUGCUAAUGAUGCUGUUUAGAUCCUUAUUGCUUUUGUCUUCUUGUUUUAUUUGAUCCUGCCUGUACAGCACUUUGGUCAGCUCUCAUGAUGUACUUUAAAUUGUACUAUAGAAAUAAAGUUGGUAUGGUAAUAAUAAUAAUGAGUAAACCUGCUGUUUUCAGCCCAGCAAACUUCUGCGUCUCAGAACAGGAGCAACAUAGCAUUUUUAAUUAACUAAAAAGGCAUUGAUUUACACCAGAGAACACUGCAAAUGUACUGAAUAGAGUAAAUCACACCUUUAAAGCGACCACUCUUUUCUUAGUCAUGCAUAUUUAUUUCAAUCUAUUUUGAUAUAUAUAUAUAUAUAUAUAUAUAUAUAUAUAUAUACACACAUAUAUAAGCCGGACAGACCAGCCAACCCAGUGCCUCAGAGGUCAGUGACUUCCACAUGGUCUGCGUCAUCUCUGCACUAGAGCAAAUUCACCCUGUGGUGGGGCAACCGCCUGCUACGGGGGAGUUGGUGGUUGCAGUGACACACCAAAGGAGACUCUGCACCCCGCAGUGGGAACUCCACCUGCCAGAGGGGGUAGUGGUGGUGGCGCUGAGACUCUGGCUGAAGCCCAGCACCUGGUGGUGGGAACUCCAUCUGCCAAAAGGGGGGCUGCUGCCAUCACUAACUCUGCUCCACUACAGCCGGCGCUAGUGACCUCUAACCCUGAGGUUGGUGUCCCACCUACCAAAGGGGGCUUGAUUGUCACCCUGUACCGCUACUGUCUGAUCCUGCUCUCUCUGAUUGCACCUGCGCAUCAACCGGGGGCCCUCCAGAGCGCUCACCUGUGCCAGACCCUCGCAAGGCCGCACCUGUCUACAGUCUAAGACGUUCCUGGUUUCCAUUUCCAGUUCUAACAAAACUCAUUUUGUUGGUUGCGUCCAUCGAUCUGAUAUCGAGCGCAGCUGAGGUGAAUUUUCAGCCUCCUCUAACGUGUCUAUACGAACCUGGGCCCUCUUCGGGUAUCACGCUCC